GAUGAACGCUAGCGGCAGGCCUAAUACAUGCAAGUCGAACGGAAUAUGAUUUUCGGAUUAUAUUUAGUGGCGCACGGGUGAGUAACACGUACAUAACUUACCCUCAAGAGGGGGAUAGCCUCGGGAAACUGAGCGUAAUACCCCAUAGUAUUAUUGAACGGCAUCGUUUGAUAAUUAAAGCUACGGCGCUUGAGGAUAGAUGUGCGUCUGAUUAGCUAGUUGGUAAGGUAACGCUUACCAAGGCGACGAUCAGUAGGGGGCGUGAGAGCGUGGCCCCCCACACGGUACGUNAGACACGGACCGACCUCUACGGAGGGC
rnacentral:rRNA from 1 species